rnacentral:tRNA from 1 species
AUUUAAAUAGUUUAUAAAAAUAUUGAUUUGUGGUGUCAAAGAUAUGAUUCAUUCAUUUUAAAUG